rnacentral:lncRNA from 1 species
GCUCUGUAAAUGAAGUUUUCGAAGCCAGAGCUUUGUAAAUGAAGCUUUUGAAGCUAGAUUGACAUAAGUGAUGCUCAUGAAUUUUUAUGUUGAUUGACAUGAGUGAUGCUCAUGGAUGUUGACAUGAGUGAUGCUCAUGAAUGUUGACAUGAGUGAUGCUCAUGAAUAUUGACAUGAAUGAUGGUCAUGAUUGUUUAUGUAUGAUUGUCAUGAGUGAUGCUCGUAAAUGUUUAUGUAUGAAUGACAUGAGUGAUGCUCAUGUAUAAUUUUGAAGUACUGGACGUACUUUUGAUCACCUAGUGGGUGAUAAUAGCGGCAGGAUGCCGAAUAAUUUUGGAGUAUUGGGCGUACUUUUGAUCACCUGGUUGGUGAUAAUAGCGGCAGGCUGCUGUAUAAUUUUGGAGUAUUGGGCGUACUUUUGAUCACCUGAUUAGUGAUAAUAGCGGCAGGUUGCCGAAUAAUUUUGGAGCCAUAGGGCCUGGUUCUUUUGGGCAUAUGGGCCUUGGGCCUCCACAUAACAUUCCAGCCCAUAUUCUAUAAAAGGACCUCUCACUCUCCUCAUUAAGGGAGGCCAAUUCUUAGGCCUGAGAUCCCCAGAGGCCUCCCAUAUUCAGAGAAGAGCCUUACUCUCAUUACAAAGGCUCUCUCCCUCACAAUCUUCUCAGAGAAAUACAAUAUCAAUGUGGACGUAGCCCAAACAUUGGGGUGAACAUGAUACAUCUUGUGUUCUUUACAUUUCUUGCAGAUUUACGGUUGGAUUUACGUUGUUCCAAGACCUUCGGUUUUGUGCA